CAGUAGCCGCGGGAAAACAGAGGGUGCGAGCGUUAAUCGGAUUUACUGGGCGUAAAGCGUGCGUAGGCGGCUUCUUAAGUCGGAUGUGAAAUCCCUGAGCUUAACUUAGGAAUUGCAUUCGAUACUGGGAAGCUAGAGUAUGGGAGAGGAUGGUAGAAUUCCAGGUGUAGCGGUGAAAUGCGUAGAGAUCUGGAGGAAUACCGAUGGCGAAGGCAGCCAUCUGGCCUAAUACUGACGCUGAGGUACGAAAGCAUGGGGAGCAAACAGGAUUAGAUACCCCCGUAGUCCCUGUCUCUUAUAC
rnacentral:rRNA from 1 species